rnacentral:rRNA from 1 species
GAUGAACGCUAGCGGCAGGCUUAACACAUGCAAGUCGAGGGGUAUUGGUUUUCGGACCAAGAGACCGGCGCACGGGUGCGUAACGCGUAUGCAAUCUACCUUUUGCAGAGGGAUAGCCCCAGAGAAAUUUGGAUUAAUACCUCAUAGUAUAGUACUUUGGCAUCAAGGAACUAUUAAAGUCACAACGGCAAAAGAUGAGCAUGCGUCCCAUUAGCUAGUUGGUAAGGUAACGGCUUACCAAGGCUACGAUGGGUAGGGGUCCUGAGAGGGAGAUCCCCCACCACUGGUACUGAGACACGGACCAGACUCCUACGGGAGGCAGCAGUGAGGAAUAUUGGACAAUGGGCGCGAAGACCUCGAUCCCAGACCAUGCCGCGUGC